UAUGGAAGCAGCAACCACACGCUCCUUGAUGUCUGCAGAAAAUCUAAGUCUUCCCCAGGUGCAGGUGAUUGUGAUGAGUGCCAAUAUGGGUUGCAGCCACUGCAGGCAAAGGGUCUCAAAGGUGGUCUCCAAAAUGAAUAGCUUGCUGGAUUACAUGGUGGACUUGCGGAAGAAGGAGAUCACAAUGAGAGGGGUUGUGGAAAGCAAGAAGAGAAAAGUAGACGAAGAACGAAGAAGUUACAAGAAGAAAUCACCGAGACCGUUGGGAUUCCUUAGGAUGAAUUGUUUCAGCUGUGGUUGAUGGUUUCAGAUUUCUAGAGACCAUAUACUUAGUCAUUUAAUUUGGA